GAUGAACGCUAGCUACAGGCUUAACACAUGCAAGUCGAGGGGUAACGAGAGGAAAGCUUGCUUUCCUUGUCGACGACCGGCGCACGGGUGAUUAACGCGUAUCCAACCUGCCCCCAACUAGGGAAUAACCUUGCGAAAGUAAGACUAAUACCCUAUAAUUUCCUCCGAUGCCAUCUGACGAGGAAUAAAGAUUGAUCGGUUGUGGAUGGGGAUGCGGCUGAUUAGCUUGUUGGCGGGGUAACGGCCCACCAAGGCAACGAUCAGUAGGGGUUCUGAGAGGAAGGUCCCCCACAUUGGAACUGAGACACGGUCCAACUCCUACGGGAGGCAGCAGUGAGGAAUAUUGGUCAAUGGGCGGAAGCCUGAACCAGCCAAGUAGCGUGCAGGAUGACGGCCCUAUGGGUUGUAAACUGCUUUUAUACAGGAAUAAAGUUAGCCACGUGUGGUUAUUUGUAGGUACUGUAUGAAUAAGGACCGGCUAAUUCCGUGCCAGCCGCCGCCGUAA
rnacentral:rRNA from 1 species